rnacentral:rRNA from 1 species
GAUGAACGCUGGCGGCGUGCCUAAUACAUGCAAGUCGAACGAAGAUGCCGGAUGAGUAAUCGUUUGGUUUUCUUAGUGGCGAACGGGUGAGUAACGCGUUGGUGACCUGCCCCGAAGAGGGGGAUAACAGCUCGAAAGGGCUGCUAAUACCCCAUGAGUUCUUCCAGGUUAGAAACUGGUUGAGGAAAGACUUCGGUCGCUUCGGGAGGGGCCUGCGUCCCAUCAGCUAGUUGGUAGGGUAAUGGCCUACCAAGGCAAAGACGGGUAGGGGACCUGAGAGGGUGACCCCCCACAAUGGAACUGAAACACGGCCCAUACUCCUACGGGAGGCAGCAGUGAGGAAUAUUGGACAAUCAACGAAAGUUGGAUCCAGCAACGCCGCGUGGAUGAUGAAGGCCUUCGGGUUGUAAAAUCCUUUUAAGAGGGAAGAGUAAGGACGGUACCUCUUGAAUAAGUCUCGGCUAACUACGUG